rnacentral:rRNA from 1 species
AACGAACGCUGGCGGCAUGCCUAACACAUGCAAGUCGAACGAGACCUUCGGGUCUAGUGGCGCACGGGUGCGUAACGCGUGGGAACCUGCCCUUAGGGUCGGAAUAACUCUCCGAAAGGGGUGCUAAUACCGGAUAAUGUCUUCGGACCAAAGAUUUAUCGCCUUUGGUUGGGCCCGCGUUGGAUUAGCUUGUUGGUAGGGUAAAAGCCUACCAAGGCGACGAUUCAUAGCUGGUCUGAGAGGAUGAUCAGCCACACUGGGACUGAGACACGGCCCAGACUCCUACGGGAGGCAGCAGUGGGGAAUAUUGGACAAUGGGCGAAAGCCUGAUCCAGCAAUGCCGCGUGAGUGAUGAAGGCCUUAGGGUUGUAAAGCUCUUUUACCCGGGAUGAUAAUGACAGUACCGGGAGAAUAAGCUCCGGCUAACUCCGUG